rnacentral:rRNA from 1 species
GAUCAUGGCUCAGGAUGAACGCUGGCGGCGUGCCUAACACAUGCAAGUCGAACGGAGCUGCUUUGAUGAAGUUUUCGGAUGGAUUUAAAGCAGCUUAGUGGCUGACGGGUGAGUAACGCGUGGGUAACCUGCCUCACAUUGGGGGAUAACAGUUAGAAAUAGCUGCUAAUACCGCAUAAGCGCACGGUUCCGCAUGGAACAGUGUGAAAAACUCCGGUGGUGUGAGAUGGACCCGCG